UACACAAAAAGAUUUGGUUUCUUGGAAUGCACUGAUAGGAGGUUAUUAGCACCACAGCCGUGCUACAGGGGCCUUACAGCUAUUCGAGGAGAUUAGGAGUGUCAAGGUUAUGCCAACUCACAUAACUUUCAUUUCUCUCCUGAGUGCAUGUGGAAAUGCUGGUUCUUUUUUUUUUUUUUUGUCACUGACGGAACUGAAGGUUUAUAUUCUCAACCCUUUGCUAAACAUGGAGACUUGGAGAGCAGGAGAGCAGAAGUAGACAAGUAAGAAGCAGCUUAGGCUGGCUGUUUCAUAAGGCAAACCUCAUUUCAUAGCGCUGUUAUUUUUAGGCCCCUUGUAUUUACAAAACAACCUCUUUUGUAAAACUAUUCAUGAACACUUAACUAAGCAGAAGCAAAGACUUACUAUGGUUUUUCUUAACUUAAUUAGGCGUCUGCAAUGGGCGGGCAAGAGGCCAAUGUGGUCACUGACAAUAUUCUGAAGGUACAUGCAACUUUGAGCUACAGCCUACAAUAAUUUCAGAUUGAAUUACUCUAAUCUGUGGUUACUAUAUAGACAUCACUUGCUUCAGAUAUUAGAACUAGAGAUAUGUGCAGACACGAUGGUAGGGGUUGAGAUGCUGAGGGACAUCUCUAGUGGACAACAAAAGCGUGUUACAACCGGUGAGAGCGCUUUUGAUGGUCGAAAUAUCAACUGGGCUUGACUGCUCCAUUACAUUCCAGAUUGUGAACUCGCUCAGGCAAUCCAUCACUUUUGUACCAGGUAGCCACUUAGUAAAUGUGUAACAUCAGCUGAUAACAAUGUGCUAGGGAAAGAAAAAUGAAGGCACAACUACACGAUCUCUGCUUUUGAGCUACUACAGACCGACGACUAUACAAUCAAUGUGCAUAUCAUUCCUCGUGCAGAGGUAUAACCUAUUUUUGCUUCUCAAAACAUAACAUGUCUAUUCAGUUUAUGCAUCUUAACUAGGUGAGAUUUCUUCUCUCAAGCUCUGAUUUGUUGACAAAUUCUGGUCUUAAUCGUUGCCACUAUUUUAAUACUUAUUCUUAACAUUCCCUUGCAUCGCGGUUCAUGAGUUUCAGGCUUUCACCUGUGUUAGUAAAAACUAAAAAGGCAAAUGGUUUGUACCUUGCACAGGUUUAUAUACAUGUAAGGAAAACAAACAUACUCAACAGGUAAUCCAUGUGCAUAACUACAUCUACCUCUUGGCCUAUGCAUUUGAUGGUUAAUCCGAAUUAAGUUUCUUGCAUAACACCUGAACAUAGGAGUGUUGUUCCAUUAAGCCGAUCAGAAUCAGUUCCUACCCACAAUCUGAAUUAUUUAAUGAUCGAUUAGAAACCCUCUCCUCACAAUCUGAAUUCUUAGAAGUAGCCUAUUUCCUUCUAUUUUGAUGCUGAGAUCGAUCCAACAUGUUACAAACUUAGUGACGACGAGAUUGAGAAAAGAAUAAACUUGCCUCCAUCACUGAGGCAGACAAUACCAAUUUCUUAAUGAAGACAAAAUUUAAUGAGGUGAUAGAUUCAUGCAAGGAUAUUACUCAGAGGGAGGGAUCUGUAGUUUGAUGUCAGUUUGAUCAUUAUUUGCGAUCAACAAUUGAGAUUGUACAAGAUUGAGUAUACCUUAUUUUAAAUAGCUUUUACAAUGCUAAUUUUGAACUUGUCAGUAUUAAAUUUGUUUUACACAAACAAAAAGUUCCUGUUAAAUAAGUCAGACCAAACUGACUUAUUGCUACUUUGCCAACUAUAAUUAAGUGUGUAAUGUAUUUUGACCUAUAUAUGUGAUGUAAUAUGUAUAUUUAACUCGGUUUGUAAUAUAUUUCUAACUUGGAGCCGAUAUAUGUGAUGCGUACACACAGCAUUAGUACUCCCUCCGGUCAUAAAUACUUGUCGCUUUGAUCAAGAUCCAGUCAAACAUUUAAAAUUUUGACCGUCAAUAGCUUCCAGAAUAUUUAGUUUGAAAACAUAAAAAUUAUAUGUGCAAAUUUGUCUUGAUAAAUACUUUCAUAAUAUUAUAUUUUUAUUGGAUCAAACUCAAACUGAUUAAUUUUGUUGAAAACCUAAAGUGUAUCUAUUUUGAAGUGCCAUUCCAGCAGCAAUAAAUUCAUGUAUACACAUGCCGUUGUUCAUGUAUCUUUAGCAACGGGUCAAUAUUGCGCGCCAACGGCGUGCAACUUUUC